UGCAGAGCUUUGUUUGUGUGCAUUCUUGUGCCUUAUAUAUUUGGGUUUUAAUGUAUUUACAGAUGGUUCCAUACCGAGAUUCAAAGUUAACCCAUCUGUUCAAGAACUACUUUGAUGGGGAAGGUAAAGUAAGCAUGAUCGUGUGUGUGAAUCCAAAGGCUGAAGAUUAUGAAGAGUGCUUGCAAGUCACAAGAUUUGCAGAAGUGACCCAAGAAGUUGAAGUGGCAAGACCAGUGGACAAGGCAAUAUAUGUGGUUUGACGCCUGGAAGGAGAUACCAAAAUCAGGCUUGGGGAGGACCAGUUGGAGAUGCUAUACCUGCGUGAGCAAACCACCAAAGCAGUCAGUUCACAGCUACGUGCAGUGUUUACAAGCCAGAUCCUGAAGAGUGGUCUGCCUUCCCAGAAUGAGAUUUUAGAGAAGACAACUACGAUCUAUGAAGACGACAAGCGUACUUUGCAACAGGAACUCGAGACUCAGAACCAGAACCUUUAGCAGCAGUUUUCUGACAAGCACAGACUAGAAGCCAGGCUACAAGCAAGGCAUGGUGACAACCAACCAUUAAGUGGGAGAAAGAAUGCGUGAGUGUCGCUCCUGCGGGAUGGUGGCUGACUUCCACCCGAGGUAUUCCGAAUCCAUGUUCCUAGGCUUAGGGUUUUGGUGGUGGUGGUAGCAGGAGCCACCAUUCAGUACAUUCUGUCUCCUUUCUUUGCCCUUAAAAUGGCUGACCAGAGAGCCGACAUGACAAGAUGUGCUUGACUCUGGGAAGACUGUCAUUCUU